rnacentral:pre_miRNA from 1 species
AGCUUUGUCAAUUCGUAGCGAGAUUUCGUCAAACACCAACCCAUGAGGACUGAUGAGACUCGCCAGACAAGUCAGGCG